GGUAGCCAGACCGAAGAGGUCCCACCUUGUAUUCCACUUAUUGUAUCCGACAUCUUCAUGCAAGCCAGUUCCGGUUUGCAUCAAGUAGUACAGAUCAUCGUUUAUUCUGUAAAUGGUCAUGUGACCAUGUCCGUAAAACUUGGCUAGAUCAAAUAUGCCAAUCUCUUUGACCGCUGUGAGAUUUGAAUAGAGAAGCUGACAUAACUAUACAGCACAAAAGAUUUCACCGAUCUUCUAACGAACCUGAAUAUCCAGCUGCAUAUAUGAGCAGCUAAACA